ensembl:lncRNA
CCCUGCAUCUCAAACACACACACACACACACACACGUUCCCCAGUGUGAUUCAGAGGGAGAAAAAAAAUAAAAGAAUAACACAACACUGCUGAUCAGAGCUGCUCAGCCCGCCUGCUCUGCACUGAGGGUCCCUGACAGAAGCAGCGAUGUUCGAGACGCAGGGAGCCCUCAGUUUGUCCGUCACUGAUUAGUAAAAAAAGAAAAUACUUCGCCUCUUCUUGCCCAGCUGCAGCGGAUAUGUGCAUCUGUGCAUCUUGACACGCCUUCAAGCCACCAGUGGACACACACACACAAAGCCGAGACAAAGACACACAAACUGACAUGGCUGAGGUGAGUGCAAAUGCACAAAUGUGCAAGAGCUGUUAUUUCAUUUGCAAAACACGGCUCGGCAAAGCCUCAGCAAAAUAGGCAAUUAGAGACUCUUCUUCAUGAGCACUUGACUGUAUUCCUGUAACCUUUUACACAACUAUUCUUCUCAAAGUAUUUGUCACCUUCGCAGUGGGGCCUUCGCACGAAGCUUUUCAAAACACACAGUGGGGGAGAAAAGGAGGCGUAGAAACUUAAAAUCCUCCCGUGAGGAUUUGGGAACUUAUAUAACUCCCAAUUAUCAAAACUUCUUGCAGCCUUUGCAGGCCUCCCCUCUGUUUGUUAGACUCACAAAAUAUCUACAGUGCCACUGAAGAGUGUAUAAUGCCUGUAUGCCCACAUGACUGGCGAAAACACUCCUGCUCUUUCUGCCCCGCUGAGUCCUGCUGCAUAAUGGGGGUCUUGAAGGCUGUGGGCUCAGAGCAGGCCUGCCUAACAAAGCCUUGGUGGCUUGCAGCAGACAGGAGAAUGUGUUUGCGAGCCGUUUGCCAAAAACUAAUUUUCGGGAGGUUUUUUAUGUGGGAUGCAGUGGCAGCAGCAUGACAGUGUGAGGUUUAGAUAGAGCGGGGAGGGCUGUGAGCGCGAUACGUGGCUCUUUUGUGAAAGUCCAGAGAGUUGGUUCAGAAAUGAGGAAGUUCACAAAUUGGUAGUUUGGAAUAAAUUGGAAAAAAGUUAGUUGUGGCAUUUUUUACUUUUUUGUUUGUUUAAUUGCAGUAAUUUCCACCCCAUCCUGGAGCAUUUUUUGGAAUUAAUUUCAGAUUAACCAGACGAAGGAGUCCACUUUCACCAGCCUGCAGGCUAGUCCCGUAUUUCUUUCACUCCCUCUGUAUCUCUCAUGAGUAUUUUUUUAUCCUGGAUCCCCUCACCUUCACUUUCAUUUUGGCUCCACAGUAAUGUACCUGUUUACCCAUUGGGUGGUCCUGAGCUGGGCUAAACUAAAGCCCCAGUUCCUGCAAUCUAAGUGUAGAGUAGCUGCUAAUCCGAUUUCAGGAAACAGCCAAGCCCCCGCCUCCCUACGCUCCUACCCCACCCACCACCACCAAACACUGCCCCCCCCCCCUUCUCUUCAGAGAAGAAAGGAAAUAACAGAAACAUGAGUGACAGGGAAGGAGUUAGAGGGAAGAACAAUUAAACUUGGGUCCGGUUUGGUUAUGGGAGUAUUUUUUCAGCAGGACAACAGAACCUGGGCUCAUAUUUAUGUGUCUGUCCCUUUAAUAAAAGGUGCGACAGUGAGGACAUAUUACCUGCUCACGGACUGGUCUCUCCUCCGAGUCCACUCUGCCCUCCCUGGUGCGUUACCGAGGCCAAACAUAAAGCAGUGUUUCAUGGCGCUGGGGCUUAUCUGGGCUCUGAAAGUAUGUGAGACAUGCCAGGAAAACAAAGGAGCGUCUCUGCGCCAACUGCAGGGCACUGAUGACCUUGUUCUGGCGCUCCUGACACAGUAGGAUUGCUCCAUAAACGAUAAGUAAAGACGGAGUGUCUGGGAGGUUAAAGGCCUCCACUUUCACAAACAAAGAGGCUACAGAGAGAAUUGAGCGCCAAAGAAGAAGAGAAUGCAUUUGUUUUGUCACUGGCUUGUUUUUGCAGGAUUUGUUUUGUACGACACCUGUGUUUUGUGCGUUGUUGCAAAACUGGGCAGGAAACGGAUUUGCGUUUGUAUGCCGCUAUUUUAGUCUGCCUAACAUUCUAACCGCUUUUUUACACUACAUGUCAUUCACCCAUUCACACCCAUAUCAGAUCGUAACCAAUUGGACUUAAGAUAUCUACUGAAUUACUUAUACAAUAGUAUCUUGUGUGUAUUAUCAACAUGAUUUAAAUAUUUAAUUUCUAAAUAACACGGUCAAUAUCAGUCUGUCGCAAGACCCCAUUUGGGACAUUCCUGUUCCCCUCAGGACAUUUUGUAUUAACUCUGAUAGCCCCUCAACUUUUCAUGCAGCGCCAUCAUCAGGUUUAUUUCUGAACUGCAAAACGUAUUCCAUGAGAUUCCCAUUGGCAUUAACUGUACUUUCUGUUUAUGGUUAACUUGCAAGUUUUAACGAACGCGCUGAGAUCAGAACGGUUAAUUUCAUAACUGCAAAACAUCGACAUGUUGACACAGUCAUUCUGAACAUUUACCAUGAUGUUGGCAUAUAAUAGGAUACAAUAUCACCAACAUAAUUUGAAACUCAAGGCUUCAAACUCAAACAAUGACCAAAAAGACUAAGCACUGAUUUGUUUCACCACUUUGUCUCCAUCAGAGCGCCUAAAGUGCUGAUCCAACACUUGUAUAACUGCAGUGAGGAGAAGCCUCUUGAGGAGGCACCAAGGAGCUCGCUCCACUCCCUGGGUAGACACAGACAGAAUACUCCAGAUUACCUAGUUUUCCUAAUGUCUCCUCUCUGGCGAAGUGUCUUUCAGAGGGCUGAGAGGCAAACCGGCGCUGGUGAAAGACUCACUCUCCAUUAGUGGAGGUAAACGGCUCUUCUGUGAGCAACCGGCUAAAGCGGGGCGGGAUAAAAGGCCUCUCCACGCACUUCUUCAGGCAGAUUAGAGAGGUGACUCUUGUCUCGAGGAUGUUAAUGUUUGUACGCGCACAGCGGAGCGCUCUACCGCAGGAACCUCAGCGGUCUCAUUGCUGCGUUUAUCUGCAGGAAUUCACAUGGUUCUGUUUCGUCAGCAAUGAAACCUGCAUUUAAUUCUCAGUUCAAUCAUCCUGCAUUAGGCUGUUUUGUUUGUAGUCUGAGCUACACCUUCAACUGCAAUUGUAUUAUAACCAUUGCCUUGGAAUUAAAUGUUGAGGGGAAUUGGUUUAAAAUAAUGGUAAGAACACCAUGGAGCUGCUUUUAGGUGUUUAGGUGUUGCAACUACUAUUCUAUUAUAAUUCUAGAAUAAAAUGAUAAUAGUAAAACUUCAGAAAACUGGAAAAAAUAGAAGGUAAAGAUGGUUUCAAUAAUUUCCUUAAUUUAUUUAUGUAGUUGAUACUUUAACAUAAAAAAAACAUGCAAGUUGUCCAACAAUUACAAUGCAUUUCCCCCUCUCUCAGUUCUUCCAACUCUAACUGGUCCUUACUUUCUGAGGGGGAGAAACAAGCUGCGCCUCGUGGCAGGCUCACUGCUUCCUUGCCAGCUACCAGCCGCUGAUUGCAUUUCGCCCGAGAAGUAAAUACUACAUGCUCAGUUACCAGGUGAAAUCAAGCAGGCAGACGUGUCGGCAGCCUCAGUAGACGCUCGCUGGACCCUGCCUGCUUCUACCUGUGACACGGACUUUAUAGCCAAGUCAGCUGCUGCUGAUCCACGUUGCUGAGCAGGUAUCGGUGUGUAAGUGUGUGUGUGUCUGUGUCAGAGAGGGACAGGGAGAGAUGGAAAGAAAAAAAAAAAAACAGUAGUGACGACAAAGUUUGUUUACUUUUUAAGAAAAUAAAAAUGUAUGGCCAUUGAUUUGAAAGACUUGUUAAAGGAAUACCGAUAACUGCAGCUUUUUACCGACACUCACUGCAGCCGCCAUCGGGCCUGUUUGUUGUGAACCGUGUAGAAAGCAAGAGAGCAGCGGAGGUAUAUUUGCCGGGGAAGGGGUGAGAAUACAAUAGCCCUCCUUCCAAGGGUCUGUAACCAAACACUCUUAAUAAAGUCCCUGCCACUGCACAGCUCGCCUUACAACAACAGGGACGGCAUUAUACAACUCCACUCUUUGUUUUGAAGCGCCCCACCAGCGAGUCCUAGAGAGGGACGAGCACUGCACAAUGUAAAAUAUUGAUGACCCCGUUACACCUUAUAUUAUUUCCAUUGGCAGCACAUCUACUGAUGCUGUGGUCUAGUGUAUUUUUUCGAGUUUCUUAGCAGGCAGGUUUUUUUUGGAGUGAUUCAUGCACCAGAAGUCAGAACAAUAAUGUCAUAUAUUUCACUGACAUGUUGGACGUUGUGAUUUAAAGACAAGUUAAGUACAAUGUGACAUUUUUAAUGAUUAACCUGUUUUCAUAAUCAUCACAAGUAUCAGUCGGACAGAUUGAAUGAUUGUUUGAUCUCUUUUCCGACGAUGUUGGCCAAGACUGGAGUGAGUAGCAUUAAAGGUUGAAUUUAAAGAAACGUACAAGUAUCUUUAAACGAGCAGUUGAUCAUUAACCUUAAACCAAGCAGUGACCAAUCGUAAUGGUUUACAAGACACUGGAGCAAAAAUAAUAAAACAAUACGAACAUAAACCGAAUGGAUCAAAUAAUGAGGACACUGUAACAUGGUCAUGCUGACUGGACUCCUUUAACUUUCCCUAUAAACACUCGUCGGUAUUGUGUCAAUACUUGCAGCUAAAGAAGGAGCCUCUCCUUGCGGAUUUCAGGCCUCCCCGUUGUUUAAGGUUGUGACCCCUCUUUUUAUUUUUCCCGGGGCUUCUGGGUUAAUGAAGUAACAACAAACUGGGCCUGCGGCUAAUUUGGAGUGGCACUUCCUGGCCCCUCCUGUCUGCACCGAGACGUAUUUCAUUUUCUCUUAUCUCUGCCUCGGUCAUGCGGCUUUCCGCAUGGACGCCCAUGUCUCCCCCAGUUGCACGACUAAUGGAAACUUCGUUAAUGUCAUUAAUCUGCAGACCAGGACAUGAACCAAACACGUUUAACCUUUCUGGGCACGCCUGUGCCACCGUAGCUGCGGUGACUGUCCACGCGCUGUUGUACUUGUGGCUCACUGUGACGUGUAAUAAUAUGCGAUUCUCUUUCCCGCAUGAAUUGGAGCCACUAUAAAGCUGAGCUGGUCGAACAUGGGGCUAGAAUCCAACAGCAAGAUGUAUAAAUGAAUGCACAUUCAGGCUUUUUUAUUUUUUUUUAAUUUCUCAGCUGGUACCAAAGUUUCUCCAGGAAAAGUACUUGAUAACGAACUACUUCUGAUUCUCCGCAUCGCUCAAUUUUCACUAAAUAUCUAUCUUUCCUAAUCAGCCUCACUUGACUGAACGGGUGUCUAUAGAUGACAGCACUCUCACUUCCACCAUGCACAUUAAAACAAUGGUAACGUCAAAAGACUACUUAAUGACUAAUCAGGUGGCUGUGAUUCAUGCCUCAUUCAAAGCCCCUUAUUCACACAUUCCACCAGCUCCAUCAAUGGACACUCCCAGCCCCACAUGUCAUAUACGUUCAUUCAUAAAGAAGAAAACAACGAGAGGGGGGGAGGGGGUUGAAAAAAAAAAAAAAAGGAGUCUCUCUUGUAGGAUGGGUAACCCAGGGGACAUUUUCUUUUGUGUGGCGCUCAGCUUAUGGGGCCAAAUGCCAGCAGGCUUACCUCCACACUGUCUGUCUGUGUGUGUCCCCCUUUCCUUUGCACGCAGUAAUUAGGAGGAUCUUAAUGGAGAGGGGGUUUAUUAGUGUCUGAGGAAGGCUUUAAACGUCACUUUAAUUAAGGGGGAUUCGGCAGACAGCUUGUGUGGCGAUGUCACCCAUUUUAUAAAAUCCUUGUUUGGGCACAACAGAAAAAUAGAAGUGGGUCUUUAAAAGGAAGGGAAAAGGUCUCUGCAGAGGAAGGGCCGUCUGGACCUGCGGUCAGCGACAGAAUGGAUCGUCUGACCCUGGCUGAGCGUUAAGAUGACGUCAUUAUCCGUCAAGAAAUUCCAAAUGUGUGCGUACGGGGAGAAAACUAACCUCCCUUCAAGGAGAAAAUAAAAGCAGCCAAACAAACCGCCUGUUAAAAGAUAACCUCACUGCUGAAAAUUUUUUUUUGGGGGGGGGAUUAAUUUAUUCUCAGCAUAUCCUAUGGCCGUUCAUGCAGGAUAUAAAAGCCUAGAUUAUUUCCUGCUUGGUUAACCCGCAUCCGGCCAGUCGCUCUCACAAAGGCAUUCUAAUGUUGCCAUUAGUUAUGCUCCUCUGGUGGCCAAAAGAUUGAUCCCAGAGACUUGGAAUCCAAUAAAUGUGUACAUGAAUGGCAGAGGGAGAUAACACGUUCGCCACAGACAGUGCGAGUGCUGAAACACGAUUGAAAAAGGCUGAUUAAUGAGGCCAUAUUUGUAAAUAACCUCAACACUAACACUUCAAUAGUAGUUUAUUUACCUUGACCUUUUUCUUUUUAUCUUAAUUUUAUUAUCAAGCUACAAUAGCCACUGAGAACUUGAGUUAGUUAGUAAGUAAAAAAAAAACAUGUUUCAGGUGUGUUAAUUAUUAAGUACCUCAAUAAGGAUUUGUCAGAAGUUAGAUGAGGAAAAAGGGAGAAAAUGAGGAGGAAUCUUUUCAGUAAAAAAAGGAAACGACAGAAAAGAUCAAAUGUACUCACUCAUAAGAGCUGGUGUUGUCACAAACAUCACGGGGCUAUAAAAGUCUUCCACAAUAACUGCGGCUGCUGGGGGCCCGCGGAGGGGAUCUGAUAAUGGGGCCCGAGGGGAAGCGACAGCGUGCUCAGGGACCUGGGAUCGUCUGGAAGACGGAUAAGAAGACACAGGAGCAGGUUAUCAGCCAGUUUAUGGGGUGUCACUCCGCUCAAACACUCACCUGUUCCGCAGGACAUUUCACAAACAGGCACCGUGUUAAUCGUGUAGGGAUCCGGCUGCUAUGGACCCAAUCGAAUGUAUUUUACAACCCUUGAGACCAGAACUCAUAGACAAUUUCAUUUUGUUCAGAUGAGUAAAGAUAGUUUUUUUAAGCAUAUUUCAUUCAAACGUUAUUUACCUGUUUUUAUAGAGAACACCUGAAUGUGGUAGGAUACAUCGUUGACAUAACUUCAAGACUUAGUAUAACACCAGGAUUCCCACUGUAAACCCAUGUGACGUUCUCUUUUCAGCCCGUGUGCGAACUAAGAAAGAGCCUCAUGUCGAACACGGUGUGCUUGAAAAGACAUGAAAACAUCUCCAACACAGUGUAACCCUGCUAUAAGACGACAUCGUCAAAGUUAUAUGCCUGGAUGUUGUACUUGUAACUUUGAGAUUCUGGCUGGAUUAUCUAGCCGUCACAAUUUGCUUUCACAAAUUCCCUAAUUAGCAUCAAUCAUUCAACAAAGCAGUGAUUUUUUUUUUGUGGUAUCGAGCCUCUAAAAACACAUUAAAACGCACAUACGGGGAAAUACAUUGUCUCAAACCUUUCUUAUCUGCAGUGUUUCUUAAUCAUUUUAUACAAAGCGCUGAACUAUUUUAGAAUGAAUUGGCUUUAUGAUAAUAAUAUUGAUAAUAAAAGUACUAUUGAGCAGUGAGAGGGAAUUAGCAGAAAGAGCAUCUUGACUGGUUGAGAUAAAUGGCGGCUGACCUGCGUGUACGUAGAGCUGAUGUGCCUUGUGGCACCACUGGACAGGUGCUCUAAAAACCCUUCCUGUGUGGGGGGGGGAGAGGGUGGGGGAGAGGUGGGGGCAGUGAGGUCGCCUCCCCCGAGGCCUCGCUGAGAGAAAGUCAGAGCACAAAGCAUUUUGUUGCCAAUAGAUUGCAAACGCCAAGACUGCAACCGCUUAUCCUUAUCACCUACUAAUGCUGUAUUCUACUUGUUUGCUUGGUUUUAAAUUACACAAACCGCCUCGUUCACUUAUAAAAUCGGACCGAAUGAAUGAGAACAGUUGGGGGGGUAAAGAGAAGUGGCCCAAAAUGAAAUCCCUCUAAACUAAAAGAAACAAUGCAAAGUUCUGUUUUCCAAUGGCUUCUUCCAUACGUGAUGAACAUCACCACAUCAUAAAAUAAUAAUCUGAUUUUGUUCUUUGAUCUUUAAGCAGCUUUCCGCUGUACACCAACGUAUAGGAAACGUUUGCUCAGUGACAUUUUAUUUGCUAAAUAUUUCGAAAAACUUUUGCCGUAUCAGUCGCAGGAUUUUGUUUUCUUUUAGUUUUACACGGAAAAACACAGUUUCACGACAUGCUUCGACGUGCACGCGACAAAGCCACUAAAUCAGAGAAGUACGUUCCCUUUCCAUCACAAAAAAUAAAUAAACAGCCCAACUGUAGACUGCUUGGGUACGUUCACCAGAUUUCUUUUUAUCAUUACGCUUUCACCCACAUAAAUGAUCAAAACAAAUGACACUCUCUGCGCAAAGAAGAAACGGAGCCCACAAAAGGGAGUCUGACAGCCAUUUCCACAACAGAUGUUUUUACAGAGGGGUGUCUUCUCUCCGCUGAGCAGUCUCACACAUGAGAGACCCCCAAAAGCUUCAGAGAAACGUCCAGAAAACCAACAUGUAAAUUUGUAACUGCCAUGUCUCCGACUAGCGGGCCCGCGCCAAUUUUGUUUCUUUAGGAAUAAAACAAAGAAACAAAGAAUAAAAAAAAAAACAAGAGACGGCUGCAUCGGUGUGGACGGCUUUAAAAAGGCGGGAGGAACAGCAACAGAACCACGACGUCGGAAAAAGACAACAGACGACAUCGUUUGUGUGUUAUCAUGAAAAGAUAAGUCCCUAUUGAUCCAGGUUGUGGGCAAAGGCUGCGCUAUUGACAGGAAGACGGAAUAUGUCGGAGGGGCAAUAUUUCACACGUUCGGCCCGUUCACUCGAUCACUGUGAGGGGGUGUUUUUUUUUCCCCGGCCUGUAUAUAAUAACACGUGUGCUCUUUAUUUCCUUCAGAUCAAUGGUAAUGCGAGGGAGGCCACACAAGAUGGAUGCCACGGGCGGGUUUUAGCCGAGCGACGCAGGCCGACGCGAGGGAGACCGACCGCGUUUCCUGAGAGCAACCGAAGCUGGCGGCCAUCUGCUGUGACUCGCGACGCCGAACGAAACUUUCUUGGUCGUUGUUGUUACCGCAAACCUGCGACUAAAAAACGUCCAACAUUGUCCACCGUGCAAGCCGGCCCCUCUUGACCUGCAGCUCCUCGUGAAAUAACGUACGCGUAGAAUUCAAAUCAACAUGCCGACUUUGACUGCACAAAUACUGUGGUGCGAUAAUGCAGACAAUGACGCCUUGAAUCACACGACCUUCGAGACCAAGCAGAGAGGUGAAAUGAUUAGUGAGGCUUAGAUUGGAUUUGGAGGUGGGUUUUAAUUGUGAAAGAGGCCUUAUAUUGUAAAAGUUUCAAUUAAUUAAACUGUAAUGUGCUUGAAUUCACUCUGUAAAUGCACCUUUUGUAACGCUUAAGAAUGAUAUGUUAAGUGUUUAACAUUUUUAACAAAUUCUCUCUCCAAAUAAUGUGCAGAUCCCAUCGCAGGUGAUUCAACUGAAAGGAUCAGAUAAUUUUGUGCCUUUCUAUUGUGGAUGCAAUGCUACACAUUCAGUAAGAAAAUACAAUUAAAUCGAAAUAUGAAGCCACUCUGGCUGAACUGCGAAGUCGAACGCUAAUAGAAUAAUACUGCUUCGACAGACAGCUCCGAGCAUUAUUGUCUAAAGUUGGGUAAAGGGUAAUUAAUUUGGCAGAAAAUCAUUCAGUGUUUUGGUGACUCUGAUGAGAAUUGUGAUCUUUUUUUUCUUUUUUUCUCUCUCUCGCUCAGACAUCCCCGACGCCAACCCCCAGUCCCCAUUGUCUGUGUGAAAAUGGAAAUCUGUGCCACCAGUACAAUAUCCACAUUAUGUGCCCUGCCUCCACAUUGUUGCAUGACAUGCUUGAUUGUACCCCGGCAUAUAGUAGCGGAAAUGUGUAAACAUACCAUUAGCACAUAUUACGGUUCGUCCUCCUCUAACUUAUUAAUGUGUAAUGUACGACUUUGUACAAGGUUUUUUUUUUAGGAUUUCUUCUAUGUUUGAACCAAACACCUCUUGGAGAUUUUGUAGAGCAGACAAAAAAUCAGAAGGAAAAGCGUUAAUUUACUAAUUAGUUUGUGCUUUGGACAAAAUACGUCCAUUUCAAAAUAACGGUUGAUACGUUUUACAAGAAAAUCAUCUGUUUUACUCUCACAUUGAUUCACAAAACCAUCAAAGCUUUUCUGUCAAAAACGUUUUAACUCAACCAUGCUGGACAUUGUUUGUGCCUCCCUGAAAGGCAAUUGCUAUUAUUAACCUUGCCUGAGGCUAAAGGUACAAUACAUGCCUUGCUAUAAUUGAGGGUAUAUGACAUUUGUAUACAAUGUUUUGACGUAUUGUGCAUGUUCAGAUAUUAUACAAUGAUUAUAAAGCUGAAUCUCUCAGACUUAUUGUUUCAUGUAAUACAGUUUAAAGGCGUUGGGACCAAGACAAACCGCCCAAAAGAAUACUUUCACAUGAAUCAUUGAGUGGUUCUGAAUGAAGAUAAAUUCACCUCUGAACCGUCCCAUGUGCAUUGACAAUUAAAAUCUCUUUCC